UACGUAGGGUGCAAGCGUUGUCCGGAAUUAUUGGGCGUAAAGAGCGUGUAGGCGGCCCGAUUAGUCCGCUGUGAAAGUCCAGGGCUCAACCCUGGAAUGCCGGUGGAUACUGUCGGGCUAGAGUCCGGAAGGGGCGAGUGGAAUUCCUGGUGUAGCGGUGAAAUGCGCAGAUAUCAGGAGGAACACCAAUUGCGAAGGCAGCUCGCUGGGACGUGACUGACGCUGAGACGCGAAAGCGUGGGGAGCAAACAGG
rnacentral:rRNA from 1 species